AGCUUGCACGAGUCAUUUGGGGAGCUGGGUGUGAUGCUGUAGACCCGUAAUCCCUACUAUUUGCAGGUUGAGACAAGAAAAUAAAGAGUUCAAGACAUGCCUAGGCUUCCUUCUAGAGGUUGCCUGGACUAUGGGUAAUCACAUUUCAAAAACAUAGCUUGAUGUUUUCACUUCCUUGCCCCGAAAAGAUUAAGAUGAGAAGAAGGCACUCCCAAGUCAAUAGCAGAUAAGAAAACACAGUUUUUCUAUUUUGAGAGCUGUAUAAAUUUAGGGUCAACUUGGCUGCUUAGAGAUUUUUUUCAUUCUGAAUUUUGUGAGUGUUUAAAGAUAUAUAGAGACCUAAGUGUUUAUAUCAAGCAAAAUGAUCCUCUUAAAAUAGAAAAAAAAAAAAAAGGAGUUGGUUCCUUCAUCUGAGGCGGCAGCUAGAAACCUCUUGCACCACUAUUGUAUUUUAAUUUCUCCUGCUGAGCAUCUCAGGCAAUACCACUCAGUGCAGAGGGCAAAGACGGACCAGCUGGAAUACCUACCCCUUCAAAUGAGCACACACAAUCUCUGCAGAGACUUAGUGCUGUUCACUCCGUGUCACUAUCUAAGAAGGACUUACAGCUGGAAGCUGCUGCCAUCCAAACCCCUGUGCAGGCAGCAGGGGCAGGGGCGGGGCUUGUCCUGACGUUGUCAGGUCUGCCCCGUUGCCCUCCAUUCUCUGUCUGGAACUGGCCAUCGCUGCUCCCCGGAGCAGUGGAGCCACACCUAAGCUUUACUCACUCAAUUGCCGUUUGGCCUCUGACGAUUUGCAGACAUUAAGAAUUCGUCACCUGCUUAGUCUCCGGUAACGUAGCUGCCAUGUCAUGCUCUGCUUCCCUUUGGACACUUACGCUUCAUAGAACCCUGAGAGCAUUGCAGAAGGGAUAAAACUUUGGAAAUGUCUUGGCAAGGCUGCAUUAUCUGAUUUCUGAGGACCUCACUUUGCUACUUCCUUUUUUAUUCUUCCCUGAAAACUUUCUCCGGUAUUGCUGAAUUCAAUGCGUCUGUGCCCGCCCCCCUCUUGACAUAACGCAGCCAUUGUGAAGUCAUGUUCUCCGAGGAGCAUCCGUGAUGACUAAUGAAAUAGAGACAGUUUACUUUCUCUAUAGUAGGAGAGGUGGGGAGGUCAUCGGACCCUCCCUCCUGACCUCCUCUCCCACCUGUGUGUAUGUCUACCCACGUGCCUGUGAUCCCGGAAAUGUUGGCUGGACCGUAUAGGACUUUAAAGAGAAAAAGGUGACUUGUGUUCCCACUGGGGAUAAGUGACCAUGAGUCACUUUAAUGGGACUCAGAGAACACGGCGGAAGAAAGCAAGAGCUAGAGGAUUGAGAAGAGUGCUGUGAAAUGCUGUCACCCGGACAUGACAUGGCCGCCGCACCCAGGAACUCAUAGAGGCUGUGAUUACCUGUGCAAGACCUGCAUGUGGGGAUGGAAUCAACAAUCAAACAUGCUUGGGGGAGGGCCUCAUGAGGCUGAGAAGCUAUUGGCAAUUGACUGCUGUUGGGAGACAGAGUAAUUUUUCUUUGGGGGUGCAGUUGUUGUGGUGGAUGACCUCCAUGCUCUGGUGGAUGACCCAAUGUCUAUAUGCAUAUGGGAAGCACUACAAGGAUUCAGUGGACAGAAGGAGGAGGAGGAGACAGCCACAUGAAGUUUAUGGGAGAAGGAAGGGU